UGGGGAAUAUUGCACAAUGGGCGCAAGCCUGAUGCAGCCAUGCCGCGUGUAUGAAGAAGGCCUUCGGGUUGUAAAGUACUUUCAGCGGGGAGGAAGGGAGUAAAGUUAAUACCUUUGCUCAUUGACGUUACCCGCAGAAGAAGCACCGGCUAACUCCGUGCCAGCAGCCGCGGUAAUACGGAGGGUGCAAGCGUUAAUCGGAAUUACUGGGCGUAGAGCGCACGCAGGCGGUUUGUUAAGUCAGAUGUGAAAUCCCCGGGCUCAACCUGGGAACUGCAUUCGAAACUGGCAGGCUAGAGUCUUGUAGAGGGGGGUAGAAUUCCAGGUGUAGCGGUGAAAUGCGUAGAGAUCUGGAGGAAUACCGGUGGCGAAGGCGGCCCCCUGGACAAAGACUGACGCUCAGGUGCGAAAGCGUGGGGAGCAAACAGG
rnacentral:rRNA from 1 species